UGGCUGAGCGGUAAAGCGCUUGGCUUCUGAACCAGAGGCUCCGGGUUCGAAUCCUGG
rnacentral:tRNA from 1 species